rnacentral:rRNA from 1 species
AGUGAACGCUGGCGGUAGGCCUAACACAUGCAAGUCGAACGGCAGCACAGUAAGAGCUUGCUCUUACGGGUGGCGAGUGGCGGACGGGUGAGGAAUACAUCGGAAUCUACUUUUUCGUGGGGGAUAACGUAGGGAAACUUACGCUAAUACCGCAUACGACCUACGGGUGAAAGCAGGGGAUCUUCGGACCUUGCGCGAUUGGAUGAGCCGAUGUCGGAUUAACUAGUUGGCGGGGUAAAGGCCCACCAAGGCGACGAUCCGUAGCUGGUCUGAGAGGAUGAGUGCGCCCCCUGGGACAGGGGACCCGGCCCAACUCCCUCGGGGGGCCACCGGGGGGAAAUUUGGGCAAAGGGGCGGAACCCUGACCCACCCAACCCGGGGGGGUGAAGAAGGCCUGCGGGUUGUAAACCCCUUUUUUUGGGAAAAAAAAGCAGCCGGUUAAACCCCCGCUGUUUGACCGGGACCCAAAAAAAAAGCCCCGGUAACUUUGGG